GAUGAACGCUGGCGGCGUGCCUAAUACAUGCAAGUCGAGCGAACGGACGAGAAGCUUGCUUCUCUGAUGUUAGCGGCGGACGGGUGAGUAACACGUGGAUAACCUACCUAUAAGACUGGGAUAACUUCGGGAAACCGUAGCUAAUACCGGAUAAUAUUUUGAACCGCAUGGUUCAAAAGUGAAAGACGGUCUUGCUGUCACUUAUAGAUGGAUCCGCGCUGCAUUAGCUAGUUGGUAAGGUAACGGCUUACCAAGGCAACGAUGCAUAGCCGACCUGAGAGGGUGAUCGGCCACACUGGAACUGAGACACGGUCCAGACUCCUACGGGCGGCAGCAGUAGGGAAUCUUCCGCAAUGGGCGAAAGCCUGACGGAGCAACGCCGCGUGAGUGAUGAAGGUCUUCGGAUCGUAAAACUCUGUUAUUAGGGAAGAACAUAUGUGUAAGGAACUGUGCACGUCUUGACGGUACCUAAUCAGAAAGCCACGGCUAACUACGUG
rnacentral:rRNA from 1 species